rnacentral:rRNA from 1 species
AGUGAACGCUGGCGGCAGGCCUAACACAUGCAAGUCGAGCGGCAGCGCGUCCGACCACCCUCGGGUGGUCGGAUGGCGGCGAGCGGCGGACGGGUGAGGAAUGCAUCGGAAUCUGCCUCGUUGUGGGGGAUAACGUAGGGAAACUUACGCUAAUACCGCAUACGACCUACGGGUGAAAGUGGGGGACCUUCGGGCCUCACGCGAUGAGAUGAGCCGAUGCCGGAUUAGCUAGUUGGCGGGGUAAAGGCCCACCAAGCCAACGAUCUGUAGCUGGUCUGAGAGGACGACCAGCCACACUGGGACUGAGACACGGCCCAGACUCCUACGGGAGGCAGCAGUGGGGAAUUUUGGACAAUGGGCGCAAGCCUGAUCCAGCCAUGCCGCGUGC